UCUUAUGGAUGAGCAAAGAAAGCGAUUUCUUGAAAUGGAACCUACCCCUAGUGAAGAUACUGUGAA
rnacentral:pre_miRNA from 1 species